rnacentral:lncRNA from 1 species
GAGCUUCAUCGUGUGAUUUUCCUCGAUCCUUAAAGUCGGUGGGGCAUAAUCCCCGAGACUCGUGCUGAUUGGCCAGCAGAGGAGGGCGGGCGCCUAGGGGGGUAGGGCGGGCGCCCUGCCUCCGGGCCCGCUCGGCCUCCCGUUCGUUCCCGUGGCUUCUGGAGUCUUCUAGAUUAUAGAAAAUUGCGCGGCACGUUAAUAUCUCUAUGUAAACCCGACGUGUGGGCCUUUCCUCCAUAUUUCCUGAUAACCCCCUGUAGAAAUAGACAAACACCAAAACUUGUGGAAUUCUGUCAGAUAAAAACCCUAAGUCUAGGUGUUGGUUGCAUAUAAGUCCUUUUCCAUGAUUAGUUGACGGUUAAAUGUGAGCAUUAAGGACCGUCAACAAGCUCCCCCAAGCAUAACCUUUGCUCGUCCCUGAGCAAAACUAAAAUCAGCAAGAAAACAGGGGUUACUUUUAUGCCUCUUACUAUAGGGUUUUAAGGUCUUAAGUGAUUGAAAAACAGAACGGUCAAGUCAAGCACUAUGUCUUAAGUUCUUCUGUCUUACCUUUGUUCUGGAGUUGUUUGUAAGUUUCCAAAAUAAAACUGAGGUAUUUGCCUUCUUCUCGAAAGAUAUAUAAGUAGAGCUUUAAAAAUUUUAGCAUACUUACUUUGCAUUUUGCUAUGUCAAUGCUUGGAACAAGGGAGAGGAAUGUCAUACUCCUAGAUCAAGACCUUUGACCUUUUUGAAAAGUUUGUCAUCUCUUACUGGCAUAUUGCUUAUUAGAGGGACCAUGGGCUAUCAUUUUUUCUCUUUUUUCAGUCUUCUUUUUUUUUCAAGCAAGUACCCCUAAUUCUACUGUCGGACACAUGUCCAUUUUUUCCACUCAGGUGGGUAUCUUUGUACCCCUAAUUCUACUUCGGACACUUGUCCAUUUUUAUCUCUCGUCUCACUCUUUUUUUUCGAAUCAAAUUUUUGCAUAGUCCCAUGCCUCUAACGCAAUAAUACUUCGGAAGAGUGAAUCUUUUAUAUUUUUAAAACAAAAAGAUCUUGAUCUUGGGAGCAUGAUAAUUCUCUCAACCAAAACUACAAGAAUUAACAAUGGCUUGAACAAAGCAAGAGCCCACAGUUUUAAUAUUUAUAUCUUAUAAGACUCUAGGUAUUAUGAUCUCAUAUUUUUUUUAUGAAUUUUUCGAUUUUCAAAAGAUAAAAUCUCCAGAACUCUAGCAAAACUUGGAACAAGUUAAAUAGUAGCUCAGACCUUCUCAUAUUAUGUUUGUCAAUUACCUAGACUUGAAUCAAACUUUCUUUUUAUUUUUAUUUAAAACUUAGGAUUACACAAAACUAUUGUAUAUUACUCAAUAGAAAAACUUUGUUUAGUUUCAUGGUUAUGCAUUUUUAUUUAUUUAUUUAUUUCCGAAUACUAGAAAAUAAAACCAAGAAAGAAAAGUAAUACUUAUCUAGAUAUACGUGGGGGUGCCUCCCCCAAGCUGGAUGUUGACAUAGUCGUUCACUCUUGUGUCUUGCAUGGUUCGUCUCACUCUUCUUAAGCCUCAAAAUCCUACACAACCCAAAUAGACAACAAAACUCAUGGAGCAUGUUAAGGGUUAGGUAAUUGUCUCGAGCUUAUGAGAGCUUAAUAUGAGAAUUCUAUAAACUCAAUCACACCAAGUUCCUCUUCCAGGUUGUUUUGUGGCUCAAGAUAGAUUUUCAAGCGUUGACCAUUUACCUUAAAAGUGUUACCUAUGUCGUCUUGGAUGGUAAUGGCUCCAUGAGUUGAAGUGUCAAUAACUUUGUAUGGUCUAUCCCACUUACUUCGUAGCUUACCAUGCCCAAAGAGUUUAACUCUUGAAUUGAAUAGUAGAACCUUAUCUCCAGGCUUAAACUCCUUGUGCUUGAUUCUCUUAUCAUGCCAUCAUUUUGUUCUCUCUUUAUAAAUCCUUGAAUUGUGGUAGGCUUUCUCUCUCCAUUCUUCUAGCUCAGAUAGUUGCAUCAGACGAUUCUCGCUAGCGAGGUGGAGAUCCAUGUUCCAUUUCUUGAGUGCCCAAUGAGCCUUAAACUCUACUUCCACAGGCAAGUGACAAGUUUUUCCAUAUACAAGUUGAUAAGGUGACAUGCCUAUGGGUGUUUUGAAUGCAGUUCUAUAUGCCCAAAGUGCAUCAGGAAGUUUGUCCUUCCACCCCUUACCCAUCUCAUCUACGGUCUUUUGUAAAAUAUUUUUGAUUUGUUUGUUAGAUGUUUCGGCUUGACCGCUAGUCUGAGGAUGGUAUGGUGUUGCGACGUUGUGUCGAACUCCAUGAUCGGCUAGGUACUUUCGGAAGAUUUUGUCGAUGAAGUGGGAACCUCCAUCGCUUAUAACUAUCCGGGGUAUACCAAAGCGAGGAAAGAUUACUUCAUGGAACAUUCUCUUGGCAUGUUUUGAAUCAGCUGAUCGACAAGGUAGGGCUUCUACCCAUUUGGACACGUAGUCCACAGCUACGAAGAUAUACUCGCAAUUCCCGGACAUAGGGAAUGGCCCCAUGAAAUCAAUGCCCCAAACAUCGAAAAGUUCUACUUGAAGAUUAUUUGUGAGAGGCAUUUGAUUUCGUGAGUUAAUAUUCCCAUGUUUUUGACAUCGGUGGCAUCUCCUGACAAAGUCCUUUGUAUCUUCAUACAUCAUUGGCUAGAAAAAACCACUUUGCCAAAUUUUAGCAUGUGUCCGGAAUGCUCCAUUGUGUCCUCCAUAUGGCGAGGCAUGGCAUCUUUCCAUAAUUUCAGUAGCCUCAGCCAUAGGAACACACCUUGUUAAGAGUCCAUCAGCGCAGACUCGGAAAAGAUAUGGCUCAUCCCAAAGGUGGAAACGACUAUCGUGAAGCAACUUCCUUUUGUUUGCACCAGGUGGGACAUAGCCUUUUACUAUAAAGUUUACGAUGUCUGCGUACCAUGGAUCUGCAUGUGUUAUCUUAAACAGGGUGUCAUCCCUUAGGUAGUCAUUUAUGGGAAGCUCAUCAUGUGUUUCCUUAUAUUGAAGCCUAGACAAGUGGUCGGCUACGGAAUUCUCUACUCCCUUCCUAUCUCGGAUUUCUAUGUCAAAGUCUUGGAGUAGAAGACUCCAUCGAAUUAGACGAGGCUUAGCAUCUUUCUUAGUGCGGAGGUACUUGAGAGCAGCAUGGUCUGAAUAGAUGAUUUUCUUUGCCCCCACUAAGUAAGAUCUAAACUUAUCUAUAGCAAAGACAACAGCCAAAAGCUCUUUUUCAGUUGUAGUGUAACUGAGCUGUGGUCCAGACAAGGUCUUGCUAGCGUAGGAUAUGGCAUAAUGCUUUCUAUCCUUGGUUUGUCCUAAAACAGCACCAACCGCAAAAUCGCUAGCAUCACACAUGAUCUCAAAAGGAAGAUUCCAAUUAGGUGGUUGGAUAAUCGGGGCUGAGAUGAGUGCUUUCUUAAGAGUUUGAAAAGAUUCAUGACACUCAUCACUAAAGAUGAAAGGUGCGUCCUUAGCUAGGAGAUUAGUUAGGGGUCUAGCAAUUUGAGAGAAAUUCUUGAUAAAGCGUCCAUAGAACCCUGCAUGUCCCAAAAAGCUACGGAUUCCUUUCACAUUCGUGGGAGGUGGAAGUUUUUCAAUAACUUCAAUCUUUGCUUUGUCCACCUCUAUACCACGUUCGGACACUUUAUGUCCUAGCACUGUUGACGGUCCUUAAUGCUCACAUUUAACCAUCAACUAAUCAUAGAAAAGGAUCCAAAUGCAACCAACACCUAGACUUAGGGUUUUAUCUGACAGAAUUCCACAAGUUUUGGUGUUUGUCUAUUUCUGUAGGGGUUAUCAGGAAAUAAGGAUGAAAGGCCCACACGUCGGGUUUACAUAGAGAUAUUAACGUGCCGCGCAAUUUUCUAUCAUCUAGAAGACUCCAGAAGCCACGGGACCGAAGCGGAAGCCGAGAGGCCUCAGGGACAGGGCGCCCGCCCAAGUCCUGAGGGCGCCCGCCCUCCCCCCUGGACCAAUCAGGGUGAAGUUCGGGGAUCAUGCUCCACCGACCUAAUACUUCAAGGAAAACCGUGCGAUCAAUGUCGGUUUGAUCCGACGGCCCAGAUUCACUUGAAGGGACUAUAAAACCAGACCCCCCUGGCCCCUGGAGAUCAUACCUCUUCUACAGAAUCAAAGCUAGGGUUUCAAUUCUUCAUCCAAGUAGAGAGGAUCCCUCUAGUUCUUCUAGUUCUACCUCUAGUUCAUCUAGAUCUAGUUCUAGUUCAUCUAGUUCUAGUUCUAGUUCCUCUAGUUCUAGUUCUAGUUAGUUCUAGUUGUAAUCUAGAAAAUAGGGAGAGAGAAGAGGAGAGCAGAGGAGGAGCCGGAUCUGUCGGAUCUUCCUCAACAUUAUACUUUUGCAGCAUCUGGUUCGUUCUCCAGGUUCUUCAAUUCAUAAUUCCUGAGUUCUUUAAUUACUUUUAUUUACAUUCAAGUUAUUUAUUGGAUUCCCGCUUGCAUCAAGUGCUCUAGUCUUUAUAAUGCUAGAGUAGUAAUUAAUAGAUUAGACGUGGUGAUUAGUCUUGCGAUUACCUGGAAUUGCACCCAAUCCUACGGAUUGUUGUGGUAGCCCUAGGGUAGUGAUAGCCCUAACGGUCGACGUAUUCCACCACGUUCGGAUCGGUGUUUGUAGGACCGUAGUUAGACCUUCCUAGCCCCCUUCUCAUCUCUUUCUGUGGUUAGUGCUCUGAUGUCCCGAUAUAGAUAAUCUUGAAGUAAUUCUUGAUUCUUAGAUCAACUAGAGAACUCUCAGGAAACUUCCUCUCUUCCCACCAAAAAUAAUUAUAUAGUUAUCCUUGGGCGAUCUUGGAUCUUAAUUAGUACACUCACGUUCCCUGUGGAAAAUCGAUACUCUGGAAUACUCCCGGGUGAAAGCUACAUCGGUAUCUGUGCGCUUGCGGAUUUUUCUGUUUGCGUUUAAAAUACCCAACAAGCUUUCUGGCGCCGUUGCUGGGGAACGGUAGCUGUGCUAGUUUCGAACCAAGUCGUCCGUGUAUUCUUUUUCUUUUCCUUUUUUACCACACUCACCUUAUCAUUUUCACCAUACCACAUGGAUUUCACUCUAAGCAUUAAUGAGCAUGGAAUUUAUUUCAUAGCCACUUCAUUUACUCCAUGCUCAUAUGCAACAUCUUCACAAUCCAUUGGUCUUUCCAACAUCACCACAUUCGAGAUCUCCAACCCCCUCAUCCUUUCUAUUCAUAAAAACUUUAAAAGGGCGGUUGUCGAUGCAUAUGUCUAUAUUAAAUAUUGCAGAUAUCGUUGAGUUUAUCUUGAUAUAGGUCAGCGUUGGAGGGGAGACCACUUCGCCGACUUAAAUUAAUGGUUUCCCAAGGACAAGCUUAGUGUCCUAAAACAAGCACUGAUCAGAUUGUAACAUGAGCUUUUAAUUAUUUGCAACAUUACCUUGUGUAUUGAGCAUAUAAGGAUAAUUGUAGAAAAUUCCUUCGGGUAUUCUUGUCACUAACCUUUUCAGGAUUGGAGCAAGAAGAUCGGAUGAAUAAUAAGCACAAGGUAUGUCCAACAAAUCAUCAUACAACAUUGAAUUAAAUUCAUCCAAACUUGAAUUUUGCAAAAUUCAAGCUUGGGGGAGUACUUUACAUAAAAACAUCCUUUGCCAUGUUGCUAUGUUGGUUGUCCAUACCUUUGAGACAUGCUCAAUUUGUUAAAUACUAAUCACACAACUUCAUCUCCACUUGAGUAGAUCUCUAUAAAUGCUCUCAUGCUACCUUUAUUUGCUUUAGUAUAUGUCUAGGUUUGGAGUAGUUUCAUUUAUCUCUUAAUUAAGCAUGGUGCUUAAUUAGGAAUGUUGAUCUUACUUCCAAGGGAGUUUAAUUUAAGCAUGCUGCUUAGGUUAAAAUGCCCUCCUAAAUCAAAUUAGACAUGGUGUCUAGGUUGAUCUUUGAGCCGAUAGUAUGCUAUAGUAGAUAUUGAUAUUUUGUUAGACUAACCCCUGCAGGAAAACUUUCAAUAUCGACCUGGGAAGUCCUGAGAUAAACUCACAUUAGAGACAAAGAGAGAGACACAUGAAGUUUAACAAUUUACACAAGGAAGGCAUAGCUCACAAGAGAUGAUCCAUGGAGAGUGCCACAAACACGAUGCACAACCGCUAAGAAAGGAAAGCUUCCACAAGGAGAUACCGUACCAUCACUCUUCAAGUAAGGUAACAUCUUAAGGUACUUGACUAUCACUUUUAUAAGCUUCUCCUUGGUUCUGGUGUUCACAUGAAUAAAAGAGACAAACAUGUAUGAUUUACAACUCUAGGUUAACCAACCCAAUCGAUUCAACAUGUUUAGUCCUUCCACCUUUGUGAUUCCACACUCCUAAUCAUAUAAGCUAAAAUGUUGCACACUCAAUCUUUGGAAGAUAUAAACAAAACAUAUAUAUAGAUAGAUUAUCUUUCCAUAAGGUUGAGCAAUCUAAUCUGACAAAUGUUUUAAAUGCUACACUCAUGAUCUUAUUAUCCAUUAACUUUGUCUUGCUCACUAUGCUUAAGGUUAGAGAGAACAAAUACACUUUUGGCUCUGUUGGUGUUUUCCACCAACAGGGCUCAUGCACUUGAUCUCUGCCUUGUCUCUAUGAGCAGAUACACUUCGAGCAAAAUAUGAAGGACUUUUACAACUCCCAGACUCCACCAAGUGAAGAACCUAGAUCUACGAGCACAAACACACUGGAGAUACUGGACACUCAGGCAAUCACUGCCCUAAAAUGCUUGAGGAUGUAACUACUGGAGUAACCCCAUUGUGGAAGUAAUUACUGACCUUCUGCCGGUCAAGAGAGGCGAUCCAGGACGCACCAUCAUCCCGAUCUCCAUCGGCAUGGUGGACUUCCUAGAAGCACUCUGCGACUUUGGCUCCAGCGUCAACAUUAUGCUCCGGGUACUCUAUGAAAAAUUCUUUACACAUCCUUUCCUAGAAACAACCAUGUGUUUGCAGCUUGCAGAUCAGACACUAAGUUUCCCAAAGGGAAUAUUGAAGAACCUCUACGUCCGAGUUGGUACCUUAUACGCUCCAGCAGACUUCGUGGUGAUAGAGACUAAUACUGAUGAGAGGGCACCCAUCAUCCUAGGGAGGCCAUUCCUGAACACCUCGGGAGCUGUCAUCUACGCUAGUGCUGCCAAGAUCAGUUUCUACAUCAUGGGAAGGACGGAGACGUUUUCCUUCAAGAACAAGACUACACAAAUCUUAGAGCAAUCCUGACAUGAACCAAGGAAGGACCAACAGGAGGAACAGGAACAAGCAAAUGUGUACCGAGUCAGCUAGGAUGGUCACUGCAGCUCAAGGAGGUCAAGAUCGUCAACUCAAGUCAUCUUUCUUGAUCAAGAAGGACGACCCUGGUGUCCCAAUCAUCAAGUGCACAAUCAACGGAUAUUAUUUUCAGAAGACACUCUACGACACCGGAUCUGACAUCAACAUAAUGGCCGUAGUCACUUAUCAUCUCGUGCAUGGAACCAUGCCCCUAAAACCGACAUACAUUCAGCUUCAGAUGGCAGAUCAGACAUUCCGAAAGGUUGAAGGUUAUUGACAUGGGAGAAGACAAGUAUGAUUCACCCAUCAUCCUUGAGAGACCAUUCCUCAGCACCAUUAAAGCAAUCAUCUAUAUUGGAACCGGAGAAGUCCACAUGCAUUUCCCCUCUGAUAAGGUACGCCACUAUUUUACUAACCCUAACUAUAUAGUUGAAGACUCUAAGCAGGUCAGGACAAGAAGAAGAUGACACAACCGUAACCAGAGGUGGCAAAUCAUCAAGGACGGAUGGGCAGACUAUGAAGGAGAAGUCGUAAGGUCUGAAGACAUACAGCUUGAACAGAACUGUCCUGAGGAGACCGUAGCACCGAGUCAGGUGUGGAGAGAGAAGAUAGUUAUACAUGAAGACCAGGCACCGCCGGAACCACCGACUACGCCAUCCAGCGAAUCCCAGGACGACUGAGAAAACGGAGAGUCCUAUUCGGAGGACUUAAAAACACCGAAUGCCUUGCCAAGAGGUAAACUUGGUAGUUAUCUUUUUCCUUUCAAUUAUUUUAAAAUAGUUUGCUUAGUUAAUCAGGUUCAUAUCAUCUUGAAAAGAAAAUAAAAAUGUUAAAAAUAGUAAGCCCCAUGUGAGUAUGCUCAUGGCAUAAAACCCAUAAGUACAUUCACUGUGGUGGUAUAAAAAUAAAAUAAAUAUAUUCCUGUCCUAUAAAAAUGAAAAUAUAAAAAUAAAUUUAUGAUUCUACUAAAGAGAGUAAUAUUUAUUGAGGAGGCUCAACAUGAUAAAGGCUAGGUAUUUAUGCUAACACUUAACCAGUUCCACAAAGCUUUGUUGUCUAUUUGAGCUCCACAGAAUUCAAGGAUCAAAGAAGACUAGCAGACGGAGGACAUCCUAAUCGCUGUCAGGGUGCUGCCGACAUUCAAAUACACCUCUCCCACCUGCUAGCUACAUCAGUAGGAAUUACAUCAAAAUCCAGCUUGGGGGAGAGCACCUCCAUUUAUCCAGCUAAGUAUUCUACUCACGUUUAUAUUUUACUCAAAUAAUAAAAAGAUGCAUAAUCAUAAAAACCCAAAUAAAGAUUUUGUGCUUAUAUAUAUAUCUUUGCUUAGUUUGCUAAAUAAUUAAAUAAAUAAAAUUUGCUAUGAACCCUCAUGAUAAGCUCUCACAUGGAAAGAUGAAUAGUUGCUCUGCCAUGACUAGUUCUCAAAAUUGAAAUCUCUCUCAAGUUUAGGCAUCACUGUUAUUUAUUAAGAUUUGCUCUAAACCUGAACUUGUGGGAAGAGUACUUGAUCUGAAGUCUAAGUCGUUAACGGAUAUGAUAUGGGAAGGUUGAGCUGCUGUUUAACUGUUCCUAGAGAUGCUAGAAUUCUGGAGAAUUUUAUCUUUGAAAAUCUUUAAAAUAUCACAUGAUGAGUUCCUGUAUGAUGAGAGUUUAAAUUUCUACCACAGCCAUAUAUACAUGCUUGCUAAACUUUGAGCCACACAUUUACUUUUUACUGCUUAUGAGCAUUGAGUGUGGUCAAGCUGUGUAGACCCUUAGGAGCUUGUCAUGUGGUUAAAUCAAGGUUCACUCACACAUGCUGCUUCUACUCCGGAAGUACGCAUCCACAUAUAUCCAUCCAUUUCCAUCUCCAGAACCACCCAAAAAUAUUCUACUCCUAAUCCGGGAGAGAAUAGCCAAAAAUAUUUUUGUUUUUCCCCUGUGAAAUAAAUGCUCAAGUUAUCUUGGUUACUACCACUUGCUAUAUUAUUUCAGGAAAUGAGUGCUCUAAUAUAAAAAAAAGAGAAAAAAAAAUAAAUACGAGGAAAUAAAAAGGGGCAAGUGCCCGGAACCUCGAAAAAAAAAAGAAGAAAAGAAAAAGUGAGACGAGAGGUAAAAAAAUGGACAAGUGUCCGACAGUAGAAUUAGGGGUACAAGAUACCCACCUGAGAGAAAAGAAAAAAAAGAAAAAGAAAAAUAUAGAGCAUCUCAUUCUCCUCAAAAAGUUUCAAAAGAGCAAGGAAGGUAUGUAUCCCCUCAAAAGAGCAUAAGUAGAAUUAGACUUCCACCAUUGUUAUCACCAUCAUCACCAUAUACUAUUCAUUCGCCACACAUGCACAUCUUGAUUUGACUUAUUGACUUGUUCUUCUGGAUCCAUGGUUUGACUAUACAAUAAAUGUCUUGUAAGUAUGUAUUAGCUGUCUCCCACCUAUGAGCUCCAGAUAUCAAAGCCUUAUUAGAGUAGGGUGAGAGAGAAGGCAAUGCCACUAUGCCUUAUACCACAAAUACCACAUACUUUGAGAGAAGGCAUAUACCAUUACUGCCUUGGUAAGGAUCCAGAAAUACCACAAAAGAGAGACUAGAGAGAGUCAUACAAGGAAUCUCUGAGUUUUAUUUAAAAAUCUGCAAAAACUCCAGAGCUAUAGUUAAUCGAAGAACAAGAGACAUGGUGCUUGACUAGACUGUUCUAUCUUUUAACUACUCAAGAUAGAAGUGACGGUUACAAUUCCCAUGGUGAAAGGUAAAUGAGUAAGUUUUAAGUCUUAACAGUUUACUCUAACCCGAGAUGAGAUCUUGUUUAAACGCUGCAGAAACUCUUGAGUUAUCUUUAAGUUAUGAAACCACUGCAGAAACUCUUGAGUUCAUCUUUGCUCAGGGAUGAGCAAAGGUUAAGCUUGGGGGAGCUUGUUGACGGUCCUUAAUGCUCACAUUUAACCAUCAACUAAUCAUAGAAAAGGAUCCAAAUGCAACCAACACCUAGACUUAGGGUUUUAUCUGACAGAAUUCCACAAGUUUUGGUGUUUGUCUAUUUCUGCAGGGGGUUAUCAGGAAAUAAGGAUGAAAGGCCCACACGUCGGGUUUACAUAGAGAUAUUAACGUGCCGCGCAAUUUUCUAUCAUCUAGAAGACUCCAGAAGCCACGGGACCGAAGCGGAAGCCGAGAGGCCUCAGGGACAGGGCGCCCGCCCUAGUCCUGAGGGCGCCCGCCCUCCCCCUGGACCAAUCAGGGUGAAGUUCAGGGAUCAUGCUCCACCGACCUAAUACUUCAAGGAAAACCGUGCGAUCAAUGUUGGUUUGAUCCGACGGCCCAGAUUUACUUGAAGGGACUAUAAAACCAGACCCCCCUGGCCCCUAGAGAUCAUACCUCUUCUACAGAAUCAAAGCUAGGGUUUCAAUUCUUCAUCCAAGUAGAGAGGAUCCCUCUAGUUCUUCUAGUUCUACCUCUAGUUCAUCUAGAUCUAGUUCUAGUUCAUCUAGUUCUAGUUCUAGUUCCUCUAGUUCUAGUUCUAGUUAGUUCUAGUUGUAAUCUAGAAAAUAGGGAGAGAGAAGAGGAGAGCAGAGGAGGAGCCGGAUCUGUCGGAUCUUCCUCAACAUUAUACUUUUGCAGCAUCUGGUUCGUUCUUCAUCGUUCUCCAGGUUCUUCAAUUCAUAAUUCCUGAGUUCUUUAAUUACUUUUAUUUACAUUCAAGUUAUUUAUUGGAUUCCCGCUUGCAUCAAGUGCUCUAGUCUUUAUAAUGCUAGAGUAGUAAUUAAUAGAUUAGACGUGGUGAUUAGUCUUGCGAUUACCUGGAAUUGCACCCAAUCCUACGGAUUGUUGUGGUAGCCCUAGGGUAGUGAUAGCCCUAACGGUCGACGUAUUCCACCACGUUCGGAUCGGUGUUUGUAGGACCGUAGUUAGACCUUCCUAGCCCCCUUCUCAUCUCUUUCUGUGGUUAGUGCUCUGAUGUCCCGAUAUAGAUAAUCUUGAAGUAAUUCUUGAUUCUUAGAUCAACUAGAGAACUCUCAGGAAACUUCCUCUCUUCCCACCAAAAAUAAUUAUAUAGUUAUCCUUGGGCGAUCUUGGAUCUUAAUUAGUACACUCACGUUCCCUGUGGAAAAUCGAUACUCUGGAAUACUCCCGGGUGAAAGCUACAUCGGUAUCCGUGCACUUGCGGAUUUUUCUGUUUGGGUUUAAAAUACCCAACAAGCACUAUUCCUUCCUGAACCAUAAAAUGGCAUUUCUCCCAGUUCAGGAUUAAGUGCUUUUCUUCACAUCACUGCAAGACUCUAUCUAAAUUCUCCAAACAAUGAUCAAAGGUUUUGCCAUAGACGGUAAAAUCAUCCAUGAAAACCUCCAUGAUAUUCUCAAUCAUGUCCGAGAAAAUAGACAUCAUGCACCGUUGGAAAGAAGCUGGAGCAUUGCACAAUCCGAACGACAUUCGUCGGUAUGCAUAAGUUCCAUACGGGCAUGUAAAGGUAGUCUUUUCUUGGUCAUCUGGGUGGAUUGGGAUUUGGUGAUAUCCAGAAUAACCAUCAAGGAAACAAAAGAAAGAGUGGUUUGCAAGCCGUUCCAACAUUUCAUCAAUGAAGGGUAACGGAAAGUGAUCUUUCUUUGUAGCCUUGUUGAGUUUUCGAUAGUCAAUACACAUACGCCACCCAGUGACAAUUCGUUGAGGGAUGAGUUCAUUUUUCUCAUUCCUAACAACCGUCAUUCCUCCUUUCUUUGGCACUACUUGGACAGGGGUAACCCACUCAAUAUGUGGCACAGGAUAAAUAAUCCCAGCAUUAUAGAGUUUGAGGACCUCUUUCUUAACAACCUCUCGCAUAGCAUUGUUAAGCCUCCGUUGUGGUUCCCUUGAAGGUGUAACAUUGGGAUCGAUAGGGAUACGAUGAGUGCAGAUAAUGGGACUAAUGCCCGUGAGAUCCUCGAGAGAGUAGCCAAAUGCUGGUCUGUGUCUUUCAAGAACAGUGACAAGUUGUUGUGUUUCAUAAUCGGAAAGCUUGUCACUGAUAAUUAUUGGAGUUUUUGUGUUAUUGUGUAAAAAGACAUAUCUAAGGCCUGAAGGAAGAGGUUUUAACUCUAUUGAAGGGGAUGAAGGUUGUUCAUUUUUGUCUAGCUCAACGGGUUCUACCAACUCUUCUUCUUCUUGAACAAAGUGUUCAUGAUUAAAGAAUGGUUGGGUCAUCUCCUCUUGAGUGUAACAUCCCCGAUGUUACGGUUACUAAAAUUUGGAUCAUGUCAUCAUCAGCAUUGCACAGCAUAUUUGUUAAGCACAACUUGUUGCACCCACUUAAAACAAGUUUACUUUGGUUCCUUGUGCUUAGGGAUCUAAAGUGUGCGUAUAUUGUGUUUUGAUGCUUGUGUUGGUUGCUAAAACCCUAGAGUGAAAGGUUUCCGAAAUAUUAGGGGGGGAACCCUGAUUUUUGAACCCUAGAAUUGCCCCCUUUUGCACAAUUUAAAAACCAAGCAAAAUUUGAGGUUGAGUUCAAAAGCAAAGUUGUAGAUCUUGUCAAGAUGUACAAAUUUGGUGUUUUGAGUUUUUGAAGUUUCAAUGCAAGAUCCAAAGUAAUUUUGAAAAUACAGAUUUCCAGAAAGUGUCCCCUUUUCCAAUUUGAAUCUCCAAUUCAAAAUCUAUUUGGAAUUUUGAAAAGUGACCAACAUGAAAGUUGUAGAGCUCAAAAAGUUGAACAACUUUCAUGUUGGGAAUUUUUCAAGUUGUUAUGGAAAAUCAAAUGUAAUUUUGGAAAUUCUGAUCUACCCCAAUUCAAAAAUUUGAAUUUCCCUGGAUUGAGUUUUGAAUUUCAAACUGUUUUAUUAAAUUCACCAAUUUCCACUCAGAAUUAGCCUUGGUCACCAAAAGGAGUUUUGUAGCUUGCAAAAUUUUGCACAACUUUCAUUUUGGUGAAAAUUUGGCUCCAGUUCAAAUUUUGGCUGAAUUUUGCAAAAAACAGAGAAGAGGGGAUAAGGGACAGCUACAGUGAUCCGAUAGGGAUCACGGCGCCCCUGUCCAGCGCGGCCGCCGCGCGUGCAGCGCCGCGUGCGCGCGUGCAAGCACACAGCCUGCUUGCCUGCUAGUGUCGCCAGGCGACGUGGAAGCUGGGCGUCUCCUCCGUUCGCGUUAUAAGUCUCUCCACCGGACGACAUGCUCCUUUUGUUUCCCUCGCGCCCGACGCCGGUGAGCUUCGUCGCCCACAAAAUUCGUCGUGUCCACUCCCGGUCCGAGCCCCCAAAGCACCUCCAAAGCUUCGCCUUGAGCUCAGCUACUCCUUGGACCCUCUGUCGUGCGCUCUAACCCCUUGUAGCCCCCGACCAAGCCGUUUUCCCCGACUCCGGCCGAAGUCGCCGCCGUGGGUGCUUCACCGCGGCCAGAGCUGUUCCCAGCCUUUCCACCGCCGAUUUUCGCUCUGUUGAAGUCACGGUGAGCCCCUGGUACUCCCAUGCCCUUUCCCUUGCUUUCUCAUGGCUCUGGGUGCUCGGAGUUUGGCACCGAGGUGGUUCCGGCCACCGGAGCCGUGGCUGGGUAGCUUAGGAACUCUCUAGGACCACGCUGAGGACGCUAGGCCACUCAAGGGGUCGAGGCGAACCUGCCGGAGUGGUUGGUUAACGCCGGGGAGGUCUCACCGGUGCACUGGGCGAUCGUCGGAGCCGCGGCGCAAGGAGGAAGAUGGAACUGACGGGCGGGACCCACCCGUCAGUGACCGCAUGAGGGGGAGAGCUCGCGCGCAGCGCCCGUGUGGGCUGGGCGUGAGCGGGCCGGCCUGCGGGCCGAGUUACAGGCCGCUCACCACACAGUAGUUUUUCCUUUUUCUUUUUAUGCAGUUUUUGCUUUAUGUUUGAUUUUGUGUAAUAAAUUAUGUACUGAUCCAAAAAUUAUGAAAAUUUUUGUAUAGGUUCUAUGAAAUAAGUGGAGCACAGGAAAAAUAUUAGGUUCUAUUUCCUAGUAGUUUGCAUGUGUAUAAAAAUUGCCUCUUUUAAUUAGUAAAUAAAAUUUCUAUGAAUUAUAAUAAUUUAAUUGUAUGUCUAAAAAUCACCAAAAUUUGUGGGAUGCCUCUGAAUAUUCUUCCCUGGCUUCACACAAAAUUUGGUGGCAUUUAGAUAAUGUUUGGAUAAAAUAUCAUUACACCCUUAAUUAGUAAUUAAAUAAAAAUUCUAGAAUAACUAGAUGAUAAUUAGUUUAAAUUCUCAAAUUAGGGUUUGAGUGAUUUUGGGAUUAUGUGAUGACCUGAGGUCAUUAACCUUAAUGACCUUUGGCAUUUAAUUAUUGUUUGGCAUUAAUGCUUAAGUACUGUCAUUAAUACUUAAUUAAGAAUUAAUUAAGGUAAAAAGGAUUAAUAAUUAGUUAAUUAAGGGUAAUUAUGAAUUGAGAGAAAUCUUAAUUUGCAAAUGCAACCUCUUGGGUAAAGACACUAAGAUGAUAAACAGCUUUAAUUAUUGUUUAAUCUGUGUUGCACCGAGGAGGGCUAAUAAUACUCAACUAGGUCCUUCUCAAAUAUUUGUCAUACGCAUAUCAUGAGCAUCCAUCAUUUUGCGUAUAGUGUCCGUGACCGAAGGAGCGACCAUUGAACCGAACCCCGAGGUCGGUGCUCCGUUCGAGGAAGUAGGAUCUGAGAAUUGGGAAGUCUCCGAGCGUCCCUCUCAGCUCUGCAACCAAGGCAAGCCCCGGAUGCAUUAACCCCUCCUUGAAUGUUUUAAAUCUUUUAUCACUUAUGAAUUGAAAAUGCUGCAUUAUAUAGUUGAGAAUUGGGAUAACCUACUUGCUGCAUUUACUACCUUGAUUUUGAUAUCUUGUCCUUUGCACCAGUUGUAUUUUAAAAUCGCGUAGUAAUGCUUAGCCCUGCUACUAGAUAGGUUUUCAAACAAGAAAGUUUGAAGGGUUGUUGUGGAAUACACUUAUGGUCAAUGAUGUUUCAACUUGAGACCGGUCGGUGGACUUGCUUUAAGAAUGGAGGCUUAACGUAGUGUCUCCAACUGUGUCGGUUAAGGACCGGUCCGUUGAUGGCCUGCUGGGUUGAGAAUUUAUAGUACUAGCCACUUGCCCUCGGCAAGCCCGGUCUUGUGAUCCCUCGAUGCGAACAGCUACUCGUGCACUGGGCGUGGAGCGAUGGCGAGAGUAGUGUGUACCCACCUUACGGAUCUGAGAUGACCGGGAAACAUCUAGAUCGGCUAUAGGAUGGUGGAGUACUGUGCUCUCGGGUGCCGCGAACCUAGUCAAAUUUGGGGAGAGCUUGAUUUGGGUUGACAUAUGCAAGAUUUGGUUCUACAUAUGUCGGGUGGUUAGGAACUCCAGCUGGAUUGCUAAGCGAUUGGAAUCGUCGUUGCUCCCCGAUUGGGAGACUCAAUUCCUUCGACCCUCAUCGUAGAUAAUUAUGCAACUAAGUGAUAAAAUGAGAAAGGGGAAAAUGUCUCAUGAGGUUCGGAUCCCAAUUCCCGGACUCAGAGUGACAUGAAGCUAUGGCCGUUGGAUAGAUAAUACUUUGAUUAAGGACUAGGGACUUACAGACUCGUCUGUGAGAAGCAACUAGAUAGACUGUCAUCGAACGCCUCGGCCUCUUGAGGAGAGGAAUUCGCGGGUAAAACUUGAAAGUAAGGAUGCACUAUUAGUAAGCUUUUUGGCAAAACAAUUUGGCUCCUUGCUCAGCCACCCCUUGUCUACCCUAAGCCUGCAUUCCUACUUUCUCCUCUUUUUCCACCAGGUAAGUUUUGUUGAGUACUCCCGUACUCAGGGUUUUAUAACCCCUGUUGCAGGUGAAGCUCAGGAGCCGACAUGUUUCGGACCCUGUUGUGUGACCGUCAUCGAGGUUGACGACGAGGAAGAGUGAGCGUGACCCAUGGGCAAGGUCUGUAAAUUUGUAAUCUGUGUACUAAAGUUUAAGUUGCUCCGCUGGACCUAGUUUGUAAUAACACUCUACUAUUUGGAAGAACUCCUUUUGUAAAUUAAGUUAUGUAAUACUUCCGUCGCUUUACUCUGAAAUAUUAUUUUGGUCUUAUGUCGUCUGUGAUACUGCAAUGUCUUCGCAACGAGUGAUCCUGGUGUUAAGGUGGCCACUUGCUAUCCUGUAAAGGAGAGAAGAAGAAGUUCUCGUUAAUUGACCAUCGCUAGUGGUCAGGACGAGUUCGCUUGAUACUCCACAGGUAGCGGUGGAAUGAGCGUCCUGAGAUGCUCAUCGGACUUCUAGAGUGGGAGGAUCCCCGGCAUCACCGUCAGAGGUCCUUUGGACAAUGACAGGUGUCGGUGGGCCCAAACACUUAAGAGGUUCUACCACAGCUGGUAUCAGAGCAUUCGUUGCUAAGAUGACUACGGUAUCCUUUGAAAAACAUCAAAACCAUUUGGAUGCAAUACUAUAAAUUUGCCUAUUUUGAGUCCAAGUGCUUUAGUCCUGACUUACCCCUGUCUGUAGGCUUUGCUAGAAUUUUUGAAGUGGUGUGGAGGAGCAAUAUAAAGUAUUGCCCUAGGUUGUAAAGUUUUUAAGUAAUAUUGUUACGAAUUUCUAGUACGACUCGUAAGUCCGUGCAUGUGUUGGGUAUUCUUAACAUCAUUACCAAAAGUAAACUAAGUUCUCUAAAUCUAGCAACGGUGUCAAAAAUGCCAAACCUAUCCCUCACACCACUUAAGCCAAGUUGUCAUCCCCAGCAUGAUAUAAGAGACGCGGUAUUGAAAUAUGCAAUUGCUCUUCUAAAUAAAUAAUGAAUGGGAUUUGCAAGCGCACAGAUUAAUAACGAUGUAGCAUUUUAACUGGGAAGUAUUCCAGGUAUCGUUAUUUAUAUUUUUACCACUGGGAAGGGAUUAGAAAUCAUCACUAAUGAUUACAGAAUAGAAUAUGAGAUUGAGCAUCUAUCAUUGCAUGUAUAAUUGAGAACAUUAUAUCUAACUCAUCAUACAGGGAUAAGUGUCACAUAAAAGAUAUUUGAAAUAAUAAUAGUGACAAGGAUAACUAAUCUGAUCUAGCCACAUAAUAAAUAUGAUAAGCACCUCAAUUAGAUACUCUAGAAAGUCAUUAGCAUGGUAUUAGAACGAACUACAAGAAUAUUCCCUAAGUUAUUCUCAAUUAUAUAGUCUAGCAUAUCAUAGUUAGUGCAAUCAUACUUAGCAAUCAUUGUGAGACAAGACUACGCCCAUGCAUAGUGAUAUUAGCAAGGAAUAUGAGAAACAUAGCAAUCACUCCCCUGUAAUAAUGUUGCUCUGCCAGCCCAAUACACGAGAGGGGGACUAUAUAAGAAUCAAUGAAGCUGUCACUAUCACGAACCACCCCACGAUCUGGCAUAUUGGGUACAAUCGCAGAUAAAUACGGUAUAAGCACCACGCUUACACAAUAUCUAACAUUUACCCAUGGAUCCGAUGGAUAAACGCUAUACGAUCCUAAGCAUGUAUAUAGAUCUAAUCUAACUAAGCCAAGUACAUAACUAUGAUAAACUAAGAACAAUAUAAUCUUGAAUAUAAACAAGUAGAGCAAAGUCAUAAGCAAUAUAUUGAAGUAGAACAAAGUCAUAUUCAUAAUAUUGAAGAACAAAGAUAAUUAGAAAGCAAUUAGAAGCACAAUUAGAGAAUUACCAAGAGUCCUCUUGACAGAUCCGGAAACCAAUCGAAGAUUGACUCCUUCUAGUUCUAAUCUUAUGUAGCUAUGCUAAUCUAGAUGUCUAAUUGAUGUGGUGGCUCUAAUCUUGAUCAGAGGCUUCUUCUCCCUUGAUGGAACAAUGAAUUCGGGUUGAGAGGCUCCCUCCUCCAGGGGCCAGGGGGUCUGGUUUUAUAGUCCCUCCAAGUGAAUAUGGGCCCUUGGAUCAAACCGACAUAGAUUGUAUGGUUUAGAUUCAUCCUUUAGGUCGGUGGAGAUCUCCCGCAAAGCAGAGUCCUGAUUGGACUUAGGGGCAGGGCGGGCGCCCAGUAGGACAGGGCGGGCGCCCUGUCUCUGGCCCCGUUUUGCCUCCGCUUCAGUCUCGUGGCUUCUGGAGUCUUCUAGAUGUAAGAUAAUUGCGCGGCACGUUAAUAUCUUUACGUAAUCCUGACAUGUGGGCCUUUCUUCCAUAUUUCCUGAUAACCCCCUACAGAAAUAGACAAACACCAAAACUCGAGGAAUUCUGUCAGAUAAAACCCUAAGUCUAGAUCUUGAUUUCAUUUGGAUCCUUUUCUUUAUUUAUUUGAUAAUUAAAUUUGAUACUUAAGGACCGUCAACAAACUCCCCCAAGCUUACCUCUUGCUCGUCCCUGAGCAAGGAUAGACUCAGCUAUGGAUCAUAAGUUGUUGCAAUAUCUUAAAAAAUUUGACGGUACACAUGCUUUUAAAUAAGAUCUCAUCUCUGAGUUAGAGUAAACUGCCAAGACUUAAAACUUACUUACUUUACCUUCACCAUGGGACUUGUAACCGUAACUUCUGUCUUGAGUGGUUAAAAGAUAGAACAGUCUAGCCAAGUGCCAUGUCUCUUAUUCUUGAUCAGCUAUAGCUCUGGGGUUUUUGCAGAUUUUCAAAUAAAACUCAGAGAUUCCUUGUAUGAUUCUCUCAGAUCUCUCUUUUGUGGUAUUUCUGGAUCCUUACCAAGGCAGUGAUGGUAUAUGCCUUCACUCAAAAUAUGUAGUAUUUGUGGUAUGAGGCAUAGUGACAUUGCCUUCUCUCUCACCCUACUCUAAUAAGGCUUUAAUAUCUGGAGCUCAUCGGUGGGAAAUAAAGUAUACAUACUUACAAGACAUUUAUUGCAUAGUCAAACCAUGGAUCCAAAGAAACAAAUCAAUAAGCCAAAUCAAGAUGUGUAUGUGUGGCGAAUGAAUGAUGUAUGGUGAUGAUGGCGAUAACAAUGGUGGAAACAAUGGUGGUGGAAGUCUAAUUCUACUUUUGCUCUUUGAGGGGAUACAUACCUUCCUUGCUUUUGAAACUUUAUGAUGAGAAUGAGAUGCUCUUCUUUUUCUUUUCUCUCAGGUGGGUAUCUUGCACCCCUAAUUCUACUGUCGGACACUUGUCCAUUUUUACCUCUCGUCUCACUUUUUCUUUCCUUUCGAGGUUCCGAGCACUUGCUCCUUUUUAUUUCCUCGUAUCUCUCUUCUUUUUUUUUCAGAGCAUUCAUCUCUUGAGAUAAUAUAGCAAGUGGUAGUAACAAGAUAACUUGAGCAUUUAUUUCACAAGGGGAAAAUAGAAAUAUUUUUGGUUAUUCUCUCCCGGAUUAGGAGCAGAAUAUUUUUGGGUGAUUCUGGAGAUGGAAUGGGUGGAUAUAUGUGGAUGGUACUUCCGGAGUAGAAGUAGCAUAUAUGAGUGAACGUGCAAGUGAAAUCGUGAUUUAACCACAUGACAAGUUCCUAAGGGUCUACACAGCUUGACCACACUCAAUGCUCAUAAGCAGUAAUUAAUAAAUGUGUGGCUCAAAGUCUAACAAGCAUGUAUAUAUGGCUGUGGUAGGAAUUUAAACUCUCAUCAUACAGGAACUCAUGAUGCAACAUUUUAAAGUUUUUCAAAUAUAAAAUUCUCCAGAAUUCUAGCAUCUCUAGGAACAGAUAAACAGCAGCUCAACCUUCCCAUAUCGUAUCCGUUAACAACUUAGACUUCAGAUCAAGUUUUCAUCCCACAAGUUUAGGUCUAGAGCAAGCUUUAAAUUAUAACAGUUAUAUCUAAACUUGAGAGAGAACUUAAAAUGUGUAAAUUAGGCAGAGCAACUAUUUAUCAUAUCCAUGCUUAAGUUUUAUUUAGAUACAGAUUAGCAUAGCCACUUUAUUUAUUUAUUAAACACACUAAGCAACAGAUAUAUAAGCAUAAAAUCUUUAUUUGGUUUUCCAUAGUUUAUGUGUAUUUAUAUUCUAAAAUAAGAUAAGUAUAAAUAUAGAUAGAAAUACUUAUCGAGAUAAAUGGGGGUGCUCUCCCCCAAGCUGAAUUUUGACGUAAUUUCUCUUGACGUAGCUAGCAGGUGGCAAAGGUGUAUUUAAAAGUUAGCAGCAUUCUGACAGCGAUUAGAAUGUCCUCCGUCUGCUAGUCUUCUUGAUUCUUAAAUUCUGUGGAGCUCAAAUAGACAACAAAGCUUGUGGAACUGAUUAAGUGUUAGCAUAAAUAUCUAGCCUUUAUUAUCUUGAGACUCCUUAAUAAAUAUUACUCCCUAUUUUUAUAUUUUUAUUUUAUAAAGCAGAAAAAUAUUUAUUUUAUUUUUAUGCCACCACAGUGAAUGAACUUAUGGGUUUUAUGCCACUCGUAUACUCACAUGGGGCUUACAGUUUUUUCACAUUUUUAUUUUCUUUUUAGAAUAGCACGAACAUGAUUAACUAAGUAAACUCUUUGAAAUAAUUGAAAGGGAAAGGAUAACUACCAAGUUUACCUCUUGGCAAGGCGUUCGGUGUUUUUAAGUCCUCCGAACAGGACUCUCCAUUUUCUUUAAUCGUCCUGAGGUUCGUUGGGUGGCGAAGUCGGUACUUCCGGCAGCGCCUCCUCUUCAUGUAUAGUUAUCUUCAUUUUCCACACCUGACUCGGUGCUUCAAUCUCCUCUAGAUAAUUUUGUUUAAACUCUACGUCUUCUGACCUUAUCACUUCUCCUUCGUAGUCUGCCCAUCCGUCCUUGAUAAUCUGCCUCCUCUGGUUGCGGUUGCGUCUUUUUCUUACCUGCUUAGAUUCUUCAACGAUAUAGUUAGGGUCAGUACAAUAACGGCGUACCUUCUCUGAGGGGAAGUGCAUAUGGACUUCUCCGGUUCCAAUGUAGAUAAUUGCUUUAACGGUGCUGACGAACGGUCUUCCAAGGAUGAUGGGUGGAUCAUACUCGUCUUCUCCCAUGUCAACAACUUGAAAGUCUGUGUAGACAAAGUGAUCGUCUAUUUUGACUGAGACAUCAGAUACUAUUCCUUGAACUUCUCGAAAUGUCUGAUCUGCCAUCUGGAGCUGAAUGUAUGUUGGUCUUAGUGGCAUGGUUCCGAACAAGAGUCGAUAGGUGACUGCGGCCAUUAUGUUGAUGCCCGAUCCGGUGUCGCAAAUCGUCUUGUAGAAGUUAUAUCCAUUUAUGGAGCAGUAGAUGCUUGGCAUUCCUGGGUAGCCCUUCUUGGUCAAAAACGGUGACUUAAGUUGAUGAUCUUGACCUCCAUGGACUACAGUGACCAUCUUAGCUGACUCGGUCCACACUUGCUUGUUCCUGUUUCUCCUGUUGGUCCUCUUCCUUGAUUUACGUCUGGAUUGAUCUGGAAUUUGUGUAGUCUUGUUCUUGAAGAAAAAUGUCUCCUUCUUCCCUUUGACAUAGAAACUGAUCUUGGCAGCACUGGCGUAGAUGAUAGCUCCCGUGGUGUUCAAGAAUGGCCUCCCUAGGAUGAUAGGUGCUCUCUCAUCAUUUCCGGUCUCUACCACUAUGAAGUCUGCUGGGGCAUAUAAGGUACCAACUCGGACACAAAGGUUGUUCACUAUUCCUUUUGGAAAAGUUAUCGUCUGAUCUGCAAACUGCAAACACAUGGUUGUUUCUAAUAAAGGAUAUGUAAAGAAUUUCUCAUAGAGUACCCUGGGUAUAAUGUUGACACUGGAGCCAAAGUCGCAGAGUGCUUCUGGAACUUCCACCAUGCCGAUGGAGAUCGGGAUGACGGGGCGUCCUGGAUCGCCUCUCUUGACCGGCAGAAGGUCAGUAGAGAAUUCAGUGACGGGGUUACUCCAAUUACCUGCAUCAAACAUGUCUACAAGAUUUGCAGAUUCUAAUCCUUCCGGUUGUGAUGGUAUACCGGGGUUAGUAGUCGGAACAGCAGCAGCUAUUUGAUUUAACUGUGAUUCAAUCAUUUUAUUAAAGCUAAUUAUCCAUUCUAUUAUUUAUAUUUUCUAGCAUUUUAACAUUAGAUGCCAAUUUCUUAGAUAGAUUAUCCAUUACCUUUCCUUGAUUAGACACUAACUCUCUCAAAGGUGGAAAAUUAUUAGUAUUGUUAUAAGAAUUGUUACCUUGAUAAUUACCUGAGUAGUUAGGCCUCUGUUGAUUCCAACCUUGAUUUUGUUGAGGACGGUUGUAGUAGUAGUUGUUGUUGUGGAUGUAGUUCACAUCCUCAAGUAUCUCAGGGCAGUGGUUGCCUGAGUGUCCAGUGUCUCCACACUCCUCACAAGUCAUGUGAGAGUCGUAGAUGUGCAUAACUUCUUUCUUGUCUCCAGCUCUAUCAUCGAGCUUCUUCAUGAGCAGGUCUAGCUUUGCAGACAGCAUGUCUACCUCCUUCAGCUGAUGCAUACCUCCACCUCUCUUGCAUGUCUGGGUCCUCUCUUCAUUCCAGCUUUGAUUGGACGCCAUCUUCUCCACAAGAGCUGUGGCUUGUGGUAUAGUAAGUGAUAAGAAUGCUCCUCCAGCUGCAGCAUCCAUGGUCUCUCGGGCACUGUUGCUGAGCCCAUGAUAAAACGUCUACAUCAAUAGCCAACUCUCCAUUCCAUGAUGGGGACAUUCUAGGAUGUAGUCUUGAAAGCGCUCCCAUGCUUCUGGAACAGAUUCAUCAUUUUGUUGCUGAAAACUAGUAAUCUUCCCACGGAGAGCAUUAGUCUUGCCCAUGGGAAAGAACUUAGCCAGGAAGUUUGUUGAGCAGAGUGCCCACGUAGUAUUCUUCUCCUUUGUAGCGUAGAACCACUGCUUCGCUCUUCCUAACAGUGAGAAUGGGAAGAGGCAAAGUAGUAUAGCGUCUUUGGAAACUCCUGCUAUGGUGAAUGUGUUGCAAAUCUCCAGGAAGUGUUGUAAAUGAGCACUAGCGUCUUCGUGUGCCUUCCCACAGAACUGGUUGGAUUGCACCAUGUUGAUAAGUCCAGGCUUGAGCUCAAAGUUGCCAUCGAUCUCUGCAGUAGGUCCAGUGCGGAUGUUGUCCGUAGUGGGAGCUGAGAACUCGCGGAUUGAUUUGUUCGCCAUGGCUUCGAACUCUGAAGACAGGUUCCGGUGAUCUUCUUGAUUGGAUGAAGCUUCUUGCUGAAGUGUUGAUGAUUUCUUUAGCUUGGGUCUUGUCUUCUUGAAUAAUGCUUCAGGAUUGUCAACAAAAUUUCCUGGAAGAUGUCUUCUAUUCAUACAAUCCCCUGCAUAAGAUAAAAUAGAAAAAUAUCGGGGUAAAACUGUAUGAGAGAAUAGAUAAGCUCAAUCAUAUUAGUGAUGCGAAUGAUAACUCAAAAUCUUUUAUUCCAUUCCUGAUUAGUAAUCAACCUUCCCCGGCAACGGCGCCAAAAAAUGCUUGUUGGGUAUUCUUAACAUCAUUACCAAAAGUAGACUAUGUUCUCUAAAUCUAGCAACGGUGCCAAAAAUGCCAAACCUAUCCCUCACACCACUUAAGCCAAGUUGUCAUCCCCAGCAUGAUAUAAGAGAUGCGGUAUUGAAAUAUGCAAUUGCUCUUCUAAAUAAAUAAUGAAUGGGAUUUGCAAGUGCACAGAUUAAUAACGAUGUAGCAUUUUAACUGGAAAGUAUUCCAGGUAUCGUUAUUUAUAUUUUUACCACUGGGAAGGGAUUAGAAAUCAUCACUAAUGAUUACAGAAUAGAAUAUAAGAUUGAGCAUCUAUCAUUGCAUGUAUAAUUGAGAACAUUAUAUCUAACUCAUCAUACAGGGAUAAGUGUCACAUAAAAGAUAUAUGAAAUAAUAAUAGUGACAAGGAUAACUAAUCUGAUCUAGCCACAUAAUAAAUAUGAUAAGCACCUCAAUUAGAUACUCUAGAAAGUCAUUAGCAUGGUAUUAGAACGAACUACAAGAAUAUUCCCUAAGUUAUUCUCAAUUAUAUAGUCUAGCAUAUCAUAGUUAGUGCAAUCAUACUUAGCAAUCAUUGUGUGACAAGACUACGCCCAUGCAUAGUGAUAUUAGCAAGGAAUAUGAGAAACAUAGCAAUCACUCCCCUGUAAUAAUGUUGCUCUGCCAGCCCAAUACACGAGAGGGGGACUAUAUAAGAAUCAAUGAAGCUCUCACUAUCACGAACCACCCCACGAUCUGGCAUAUUGGGUACAAUCGCAGAUAAAUACGGUAUAAGCACCACGCUUACACAAUAUCUAUCAUUUACCCAUGGAUCCGAUGGAUAAACGCUAUACGAUCCUAAGCAUGUAUAUAGAUCUAAUCUAACUAAGCCAAGUACAUAACUAUGAUAAACUAAGAACAAUAUAAUCUUGAAUAUAAACAAGUAGAGCAAAGUCAUAAGCAAUAUAUUGAAGUAGAACAAAGUCAUAUUCAUAAUAUUGAAGAACAAAGAUAAUUAGAAAGCAAUUAGAAGCACAAUUAGAGAAUUACUAAGAAUCCUCUUGACAGAUCCGGAAACCAAUCGAAGAUUGACUCCUUCUAGUUCUAAUGCUAUGUAGCUAUGCUAAUCUAGAUGUCUAAUUGAUGUGGUGGCUCUAAUCUUGAUCAGAGGCUUCUUCUCCCUUGAUGGAACAAUGAAUUAGGGUUGAGAGGCUCCCUCCUCCAGGGGCCAGGGGGUCUGGUUUUAUAGUCCCUCCAAGUGAAUAUGGGCCCUUGGAUCAAACCGACAUAGAUUGUAUGGUUUAGAUUCAUCCUUUAGGUCGGUGGAGAUCUCCCGCAAAGCAGAGUCCUGAUUGGACUUGGGGGCAGGGCGGGCGCCCAGUAGGACAGGGCGGGCGCCCUGUCUCUGGCCCCGUUUUGCCUCCGCUUUGGUCUCAUGGCUUCUGGAGUCUUCUAGAUGUAAGAUAAUUGCGCAGCACGUUAAUAUCUUUACGUAAUCCUGACAUGUGGGCCUUUCUUCCAUAUUUCCUGAUAACCCCCUACAGAAAUAGACAAACACCAAAACUCGUGGAAUUUUGUCAGAUAAAACCCUAAGUCUAGAUCUUGAUUUCAUUUGGAUCCUUUUCUUUAUUUAUUUGAUAAUUAAAUUUGAUACUUAAGGACCGUCAACAGCAUGCAUCAUGAUUUAUCACUUGGUUAAGUUCCUUCCUCCUUGUUUGGGUUGGGUUGUAUAGAAUCAAUCCCAUUCUUGCUAACCUUUAAGGUCUCCCUUACUAAUCCAAACUUACCCUCUACAGGAUGGGCCGUUGGAAGCAGACCCCGCGCAAGAGAACCGGUCCAAAAGGGGUCCCCAGACACCAGUUGGCCCCGCGAAGCGAUCAAGCAAGCUGUAGCCGUUCACCGCCUCAGCAGGAAGUGGAAAGGUUGUCUGCCGAGCUGACCGAAGUGACGAGAGAAAGGAUGUACAACGUCAUGGAGAUUGGCGAACUUAAAGCUCAACUAUCAAAACAAAAACAAGCCACCGAGAACUACGAGGCGAUUCUGUCCCGUAUGGUGGAAGAAAGGAAUGCCGCUGUUGCCCGAGAAGAGGAGGCCAGGAGCGCACUGUUGGGUACUUUAAACGCAAACAGAAAAAUCCGCAAGCGCACGGAUACCGAUGUAGCCUUCACCCGGGAGUAUUCCAGAGUAUCGAUUUUCCACAGAGAACGUGAGUGUACUAACUAAGAUCCAAGAUUGCCCAAGGAUAACUAUAUAAUUAUUUUUGGUGGGAAGAGAGGAAGUUUCCUGAGAGUUCUCUAGUUGAUCUAAGAAUCAAGAAUUACUUCAAGAUUAUCUAUUUCGGGACAUCAGAACACUAACCACAAAAAGAGAUGAGAAGGGGGUUAGGAAGCUCCGACUACGGUCCUACAAACACCGAUCCGAACGAGGUGGAAUACGUCGACCGUUAGGGCUGUCACUACCCUAAGGCUACCACAACAAUCCGCAGGAUUGGGUGCAAUUCCAGGUAAUUGCAAGACUAAACACCACGUCUAAUCUAUUAAUUACUACUCUAAUGUUGCAAAGAUUAGAGCACUUGAUGCAAGCGGAAAUCCAAUAAAUAACUUGAAUGUAAAUAAAAGUAAUUAAAGAACUCAGGAUUAUGAAUUGAAGAACCUGGAGAACGAUGAAGAACGAACCAGUUGCUGCAAAAGUACAAUGUUGAGGAAGAUCCGACAGAUCCGGCUCCUCCUCCGCUCUCCUCUUCUCUCUCCCUAUUUUCUUGAUUACAACUAGAACUAACUAGAACUAGAACUAGAGGAACUAGAACUAGAACUAGAUGAACUAGAACAAGAUCUAGAUGAACUAGAGGUAGAACUAGAAGAACUAGAGGGAUCCUCUCUACUUGGAUGAAGAAUUGAAACCCUAGCUUUGAUUCUGUAGAAGAGGUAUGAUCUCUAGGGGCCAGGGGGUCUGGUUUUAUAGUCCCUUCAAGUGAAUCUGGGCCGUCGGAUCAAACCGACAUUGAUCGCAUGGUUUUCCUUGAUCCUUUAGGUCGGUGGAGCAUAAUCCGCGAAACGUGUCCUGAUUGGGCACUGCAGCUGGGCGGGCGCCCAGAAGAGUUGGGCGGGCGCCCUGCCUCCGAGCCCGAUUUCCUUCCCGUUCGUUCCCGUGGCUUCUGGAGUCUUCUAGAUGAUAGAAAAUUGCGCGACACGUUAAUAUCUCUAUGUAAACCUGACGUGUGGGCCUUUCUUCCGUAUUUCCUGAUAACCCCCUCCAGAAAUAGACAAACACCAAAACUCGUGGAAUUCUGUCAGAUAAAACCCUAAGUCUAGGUGUUGGUUGCAUUUGGAUCCUUUUCCAUGAUUAGUUGAUGGUUAAAUGUGAGCAUUAAGGACCGUCAACAAGCUCCCCCAAGCUUAACCUUUGCUCGUCCCUGAGCAAAGCUAAAAUCAGUAAGAAAAUAGGGGUUACUUUUAUGCCUCUUACUACAGGGUUUUUAAGUUAUCACUAAGGUCUUAAUUGAUUGAAAAACAGAACGAUCAAGUCAAGCACUAUGUCUCAAGUUCUUCUGUCUUACCUUUGUUCUGGAGUUGUUUGUAAGUUUCCAAAAUAAAACUGAGGCAUUUGCCUUGUUCUCGAAAGAUAUAUAAGUAGAGCUUUAAAAGUUUUAGCAUACUUACUUUGCAUUUUGCUAUGUCAAUGCUCGAAGCAAGGGAGAGAAAUGUCAUACUCCUAGAUCAAGACCUUUGACCUUUUUGAAAAGUUUGUCAUCUCUUACUGGCAUAUUGCUUAUUAGAGGGACCAUGGGCUAUCAUUUUUUUCUUUUUUUCAGUCUUUUUUUUCAAGUGGGCAGCAAGUACCCCUAAUUCUAAUGUCGGACACAUGUCCAUUUUUUCCACUCAGGUGGGUAUCUUUGUACCCCUAAUUCUACUUCGGACACUUGUCCAUUUUUACCUCUCGUCUCACUCUUUUUUUCGAAUCAAAUUUUUGCAUAGUCCCAUGCCUCUAACACAAUAAUACUUCGGAAGAGUGAAUCUUUUAUAUUUUUAAAAUAAAAAGAUCUUGAUCUUGGGAGCAUGAUAAUUCUCUCAACCAAAACUACAAGAAUUAACAAUGGCUUGAACAAAGCAAGUGCCCACAGUUUUAAUAGUUAUAUCUUAUAAGACUCUAGGUAUUAUGUCAAAUAGGAUCUCAUCAUUUUUUUAGAUUUUCAAAAGAUAAAAUCUCCAGAACUCUAGCAAAACCUGGAACAAGUUAAAUAGUAGCUCAGACCUUCUCAUAUCAUGUUUGCCAAUUACCUAGACUUGGAUAACACUUUCUUUUUAUUUUAUUUAAAACUUAGGAUUACACAAAACUAUUGUAUAUUACUCAAAAGAAAAACUUUGUUUGGUUUCAUGGUUAUGCAUUUUUUUAUUUCUGAAUACUAGUAAAUAAAACCAAGAAAGAAAAGUAAUACUUAUCUAGAUACACGUGGGGGUGCCUCCCCCAAGCUGGAUGUUGACAUAGUCGUUCACUCUUGUGGCCUGCAUGUUCGGUCUCACUCUUCUUAUGCCUCAAAAUCCUGCACAACCCAAAUAGACAACAAAACUUGUGGAACAUGUUAAGGGUUAGGUAAUUGUCUAGAGCUUAUGAGAGCUUAAUGUGAGAAUUCUAUGAACUCAAUCACAUCAAGUUCCUCUACCAGGCUGUUUUGUGGCUCAAGAUAGAUUUUCAAGCGUUGACCAUUUACCUUAAAUGUGUUACCUAUGUCGUCUUGGAUGGUAAUGGCUCCAUGUGUUGAAGUGUCAAUAACCUUGUAUGGUCCCACUUACUUCGUAGCUUACCAUGCCCAAAGAGCUUAACUCUUGAAUUGAAUAGUAGAACCUUAUCUCCAGGCUUAAACUCCUUGUGCUUGAUUCUCUUAUCAUGCCAUCGUUUUGUUCUCUCUUUAUAGAUCCUUGAAUUGUGGU